rnacentral:rRNA from 1 species
GAGCUCGACCGACUGCGGAGCUUGCUCCCUUAGAGUCAGCGGCGGACGGGUGAGUAACACGUGGGUAACCUGCCUGUAAGACUGGGAUAACUCCGGGAAACCGGGGCUAAUACCGGAUGCUUGAUUGAACCGCAUGGUUCAAUCAUAAAAGGUGGCUUUUAGCUACCACUUGCAGAUGGACCCGCGGCGCAUUAGCUAGUUGGUGAGGUAACGGCUCACCAAGGCGACGAUGCGUAGCCGACCUGAGAGGGUGAUCGGCCACACUGGGACUGAGACACGGCCCAGACUCCUACGGGAGGCAGCAGUAGGGAAUCUUCCGCAAUGGACGAAAGUCUGACGGAGCAACGCCGCGUGAGUGAUGAAGGUUUUCGGAUCGUAAAACUCUGUUGUUAGGGAAGAACAAGUACCGUUCGAAUAGGGCGGCACCUUGACGGUACCUAACCAGAAAGCCACGGCUAACUACGUGCCAGCAGCCGCGGUAAUACGUAGGUGGCAAGCGUUGUCCGGAAUUAUUGGGCGUAAAGCGCGCGCAGGCGGUUUCUUAAGUCUGAUGUGAAAGCCCCCGGCUCAACCGGGGAGGGUCAUUGGAAACUGGGGAACUUGAGUGCAGAAGAGGAGAGUGGAAUUCCACGUGUAGCGGUGAAAUGCGUAGAGAUGUGGAGGAACACCAGUGGCGAAGGCGACUCUCUGGUCUGUAACUGACGCUGAGGCGCGAAAGCGUGGGGAGCGAACAGGAUUAGAUACCCUGGUAGUCCACGCCGUAAACGAUGAGUGCUAAGUGUUAGAGGGUUUCCGCCCUUUAGUGCUGCAGCAAACGCAUUAAGCACUCCGCCUGGGGAGUACGGUCGCAAGACUGAAACUCAAAGGAAAUUGACGGGGGCCCGCACAAGCGGUGGAGCAUGUGGUUUAAUUCGAAGCAACGCGAAGAACCUUACCAGUCUUGACAUCCUCUGACACCCUAGAGAUAGGGCUUCCCCUUUCGGGGGCAGAGUGACAGGUGGGUGCAUGGUUGUCGUCAGCUC